rnacentral:rRNA from 1 species
AUCUCUCGAAUCUGCGAACGGCUCCGCAAACCGGUUGUAAUUCAUUGUACGUCUAGCCCGGCGUCGGGCUCCUGCCCUCCGGGGUAGGGGCUGGAUCCGGGCACCGCUUAUAUGGAUAUCCCCUGGUAAUUCUGGGGCUAAUACAUGGCAUAAACACUGAACUGGCCCGGUCCCGGGGGCGUAGGCUUCGGCCGAAACCAUCAACCCGGGGUAUCCCGGGCCAGGGACGUGCGAGUCUUCCAACCAAGUUCGGCUUGGGGUCUCUUCUAACCUUCGGGACGGAACGCACGUCUGAACCUGCUCCCGUCUCGUGCGGGACCGGUUCCGGGCACCGAGCUUUCUUCUGGUUGCGGGUUCAGGUUAACCCCUGGGUUCGCCUCUGGGGAUUGCGGAGUCCUUGUACCGGGCAGGUGGGUACUGCGGCUUCCGACCUAUCAACUAGAAUGCGGUAAAAUGGGCUGCAAUGGUCACAACGGGUACAGAGGAUUAGGGUUCGAUCCUGGAGAGUGGGCCUGAGAGAUC